UACGUAGGGUGCGAGCGUUAAUCGGAUUUACUGGGCGUAAAGCGUGUGUAGGCGGUUUGUUAAGUCGGGUGUGAAAUCCCUGGGCUCAACCUGGGAAUUGCAUUCGAUACUGGCAAGCUAGAGUACGGUAGAGGGCGGCGGAAUUCCGGGUGUAGCGGUGAAAUGCGUAGAUAUCCGGAGGAACACCGAUGGCGAAGGCAACCGCCUGGGCCUGUACUGACGCUGAGACACGAAAGCGUGGGGAGCAAACAGG
rnacentral:rRNA from 1 species